GGCACGCUCCUGGGCUCCCCAAGUCUCCAAGACUAAGGCGCGAGAUGCGCGGCUUCGCCAAUGGUCGGUGCUCCCUUGCUUUUUCUCUUCCUUCCUCCCGGCGCCGGCGGUGAUAGCAGGAAUUGUUAGCAGCUGGAGCUGCAGAAGCAGCAGCAACAGCGGCCAGAGGAGCCGCCUCCUCGGUCCAGGGCACCCGAACCUUGAUCCCGGAGCUGCUGAAAAGUUGGACAGCUCCUGACUGAGAUUCUUCCAGAUUUACCAUUAUUCUGAGGAUGAAGUCUAAAAGGCUCAUCUUGGCCAUCAAGGACCCAAACAAGAUGGUCAGAAACUACGGUUGCAGCCCUUCACUGUCUCCAAAGAUGACAUGCUAAUGUCUAGUUUCUGGCGUUCAACUCUAUUUGGAGUUUCUCCCAUCUUCAGCUUGGUCCACCUUCCACUUAUUCAACUUCAACCCAACUGCAAUUUAAUCCAAAA